GAGGAUCGAAGAAACUUAAAAUUGACGUUUGGUAGUUUACAUUAAAAUUUUGAUACAACUUUAAGCUAAUCAAAUAAAAAGCCAAGUGUUUCAAAUCAUAUAGCAAAUCAUCUUGAGUAGAUGACUUCUAGUGAUAAAGAUUUUCCAUUCAUAGUAACCCACAAUAUAAUGGGUAAACUACAAGAAACAGUUCAUCAAACUGGAUGAUAGUGAAAGAAAGAAAGAACUGAUUAAAUAGGUAGAAGUGGAGUCUAUUACACACAGAGGUUGGAAAGACUAACUGAACCUUUCAGUGCAACCUGUACUAGUAAAGAGAAAGCUGACUUAGA
rnacentral:lncRNA from 1 species